rnacentral:rRNA from 1 species
CCCAGUUCGGAUUGCAGGCUGCAACCCGCCUGCAUGAAGUUGGAAUCGCUAGUAAUCGCGGAUCAGCAUGCCGCGGUGAAUACGUUCCCGGGCCUUGUACACACCGCCCGUCACACCAUGAGAGUCGGGAACACCCGAAGUCCGUAGCCUAACCGCAGGGGGGCGCGGCCGAAGGUGGGUUCGAUAAUUGGGGUGAAGUCGUAACAAGGUAAC